rnacentral:rRNA from 1 species
ACGCGUGUGUGAAGAAGGCCUGAGGGUUGUAAAGCACUUUCAAUAGGAAGGAAUACCUAUCGGCUAAUACCCGGUAGACUGACAUUACCUAUACAAGAAGCACCGGCUAACUCCGUGCCAGCAGCCGCGGUAAUACGGAGGGUGCAAGCGUUAAUCGGAAUUACUGGGCGUAAAGCGUGCGCAGGCGGUUAUGCAAGACAGAGGUGAAAUCCCCGGGCUCAACCUGGGAACUGCCUUUGUGACUGCAUAGCUAGAGUACGGUAGAGGGGGAUGGAAUUCCGCGUGUAGCAGUGAAAUGCGUAGAUAUGCGGAGGAACACCGAUGGCGAAGGCAAUCCCCUGGACCUGUACUGACGCUCAUGCACGAAAGCGUGGGGAGCAAACAGGAUUAGAUACCCUGUUAGUCCACGCCCUAAACGAUGUCAACUGGUUGAAGAGAGGGUCUCUUCUCAGUAACGUAGCUAACGCGUGAAGUUGACCGACUGGGGAGUUACGGCCGGCAGGCUUUGAACUCAACGGAAUUGACGGGGAACCGGACAAGCGGUGGAUG